rnacentral:rRNA from 1 species
UGGGGAAUUUUCCGCAAUGGGCGAAAGCCUGACGGAGCAACACCGCGUGAGGGAUGAAGGCCUCUGGGCUGUAAACCUCUUUUAUCAAGGAAGAAGAUCUGACGGUACUUGAUGAAUAAGCCACGGCUAAUUCCGUGCCAGCAGCCGCGGUAAUACGGGAGUGGCAAGCGUUAUCCGGAAUUAUUGGGCGUAAAGCGUCCGCAGGCGGCCCUUCAAGUCUGCUGUUAAAAAAUGGAGCUUAACUCCAUCAUGGCAGUGGAAACUGUUGGGCUUGAGUGUGGUAGGGGCAGAGGGAAUUCCCGGUGUAGCGGUGAAAUGCGUAGAUAUCGGGAAGAACACCAGUGGCGAAGGCGCUCUGCUGGGCCAUCACUGACGCUCAUGGACGAAAGCCAGGGGAGCGAAAGGGAUUAGAUACCCCUGUAGUCCUGGCCGUAAACGAUGAACACUAGGUGUCGGGGGAAUCGACCCCCUCGGUGUCGUAGCCAACGCGUUAAGUGUUCCGCCUGGGGAGUACGCACGCAAGUGUG